rnacentral:lncRNA from 1 species
GGAAAAUAGUGGGGAUGAGAGGAGAAAAAUUGUCAUAUUUGAGUCUUAUUAGGUUCACACAUCCCUGCAUAGCCAUAGCAUGUUUUUCCAUACUUGGUGUUAAAAACUUCAAGGGGAUUCCUUGCAUUUCAACUUAUUUCUGUAGCCCUCAGUACUUUCUGAUUUUCCUUUGUCUUUAUUGGUCAAUUUUAAUUGGAAGGUGGUUCUGAUAGACCCCAAGAGAUUAUUAUAGAGAACAAAUUUAGAUUACUACUUUGAAUGUUGAUUCUGCUCAUUGGCAUAUGUUAAGUGGCAGUUUGUUAAAUAGCAGUCAUGGUGGUGCUUUGGCGGAUUUUAUGUCAGCAGCACCAUAGGCAAUUUGUGAAGCAACACCUGCCAUAGGUCCCAAUCCUAC